CCUACGGGAGGCAGCAGUGGGGAAUAUUGCACAAUGGGGGGAACCUUGAUGCAGCAACGCCGCGUGGGUGAAGAAGUACUCCGGUAUGUAAAGCCCUGUCAGCAGGGAAGAAAAUGACGGUACCUGACCAAGAAGCCCCGGCUAACUACGUGCCAGCAGCCGCGGUAAUACGUAGGGGGCAAGCGUUAUCCGGAUUUACUGGGUGUAAAGGGAGCGUAGACGGGAAGGCAAGUCUGGAGUGAAAGCCCGUGGCGCAACCACUGGACUGCUUUGGAAACUGUGUUGCUGGAGUGCAGGAGGGGUAAGCGGAAUUCCUAGUGUAGCGGUGAAAUGCGUAGAUAUUAGGAGGAACACCGGUGGCGAAGGCGGCUUACUGGACUGUAACUGACGUUGAGGCUCGAAGGCGUGGGGAGCAAACAGGAUUAGAUACCCCUGUAGUC
rnacentral:rRNA from 1 species